GUGCUCACAUUGAUAGCAUACAUAAUAAAACUGUAAUGAUACAAGGAAGAUUAGCAUGGCCUCUCUGAGAGGAUACCAUACAAAUUUGUGAAUCACUCCAUAUUUUA